UAAUACAUGCAAGUCGAGCGAACAGACGAGGAGCUUGCUCCUCUGACGUUAGCGGCGGACGGGUGAGUAACACGUGGAUAACCUACCUAUAAGACUGGGAUAACUUCGGGAAACCGGAGCUAAUACCGGAUAAUAUAUUGAACCGCAUGGUUCAAUAGUGAAAGACGGUUUUGCUGUCACUUAUAGAUGGAUCCGCGCCGCAUUAGCUAGUUGGUAAGGUAACGGCUUACCAAGGCAACGAUGCGUAGCCGACCUGAGAGGGUGAUCGGCCACACUGGAACUGAGACACGGUCCAGACUCCUACGGGAGGCAGCAGUAGGGAAUCUUCCGCAAUGGGCGAAAGCCUGACGGAGCAACGCCGCGUGAGUGAUGAAGGUCUUCGGAUCGUAAAACUCUGUUAUUAGGGAAGAACAAAUGUGUAAGUAGCUAUGCACGUCUUGACGGUACCUAAUCAGAAAGCCACGGCUAACUACGUGCCAGCAGCCGCGGUAAUACGUAGGUGGCAAGCGUUAUCCGGAAUUAUUGGGCGUAAAGCGCGCGUAGGCGGUUUUUUAAGUCUGAUGUGAAAGCCCACGGCUCAACCGUGGAGGGUCAUUGGAAACUGGAAAACUUGAGUGCAGAAGAGGAAAGUGGAAUUCCAUGUGUAGCGGUGAAAUGCGCAGAGAUAUGGAGGAACACCAGUGGCGAAGGCGACUUUCUGGUCUGUAACUGACGCUGAUGUGCGAAAGCGUGGGGAUCAAACAGGAUUAGAUACCCUGGUAGUCCACGCCGU
rnacentral:rRNA from 1 species